ACAUGUGAAGACCGAGAAGAAACCUUCAUUUGUCCACCCAGAAGAUGGACUUUACCAGACAGGGCAUCUGCCGACAUCCUUGCCUGAGAAUUUCCAACUCCCAGAACUGUGAGACUUAUUUUGCUGUUUAAGACACCUAGUUGCAGAGAAUCCUCAAGACAGUGAGGCGGUUACUAAGGCUGCUUACCGAUUCUUCUGUUCGCCACCACCUGGGCACGGGCGCUGUACUGUCGCGUUAACACUGACGCUGAAAGAAGAACUGCAAUCUGGAGAGCUCCAGUAAGAUGCCCUAUGCCAUUAUUAUUAUUAUUAUUAUUAUUAUUAUUAUUAUUAUUAUUAUUAUAUUAUUAUACCUCCAGCAUUACUGCUGGGGCUGAGUGCCUGUGCUAUGAAUCCACUGCUCCUAGCAGUCAUUUUUUUUUUUCCUGGUUUGUUUCAUUUUUUUUUAAUUAGAUAGGACAGCUAGAAAUUGAGAGGAGAGGGGAGAUAGAGAGGCACUAUCUGCUUCACCAAUCAUGGAGCUGCUCCCCUGCAGGCAGGGCGUGGGGGAUUUGAACCUGGGUCCUUGCACACAGUGAUGUGUGUGAUUAACCAGGUGCGCCACCACCUGGCCAGAGAAGCAGAGUUCCCCCCUUCCCCCCUUAUCAGUUCCACUGUAACAUUUUCAAACCAAGGCCAAACAGAAAAGAUUGUAGGACAUUGUGUA